ensembl:snRNA U6 U6 spliceosomal RNA
GUGCUUGCUUCCACAGCACAUAUACUGAAAUCGAACAAUUCAGAGAUUAGCAUGGCCCCUGAGCAAAAAUGACACACAAAUUCUUUUUUUAUUGUU